CAGAGUUCAUGCCCUUACGGGUAGAUCUCCCACCCUGUGUUAUUAUUACCUUUGUUGCUUUGGCGGGCCGCCUAGCUUCGGCCAGGCUACCGGCUCCGGCUGGUAAGCGCCCGCCAGAGGACCCCAAACUCUGAAUGUUAGUGUCGUCUGAGUACUAUACAAUAGUUA
rnacentral:misc_RNA from 1 species